GUAUCCCUGAAGUGAAUGCUGUCCUGGUUCACGGCAUCCCACAUUCCAAACAUCCUGCAGGUUUGAAGUCUUGCCCUUAAGCUUUGGUAUUCUCAGGACUCAAAUGCCUUGUCCUUGCCGGUUGUUGGCUUGAAUGUAGGUGUUCCGUGUAAAUAUUUCCAUCCUCUACCUUUUGUAUAAAAGAGACAGUUGCCGAACUCUUUUAUUCCGCUUGGUGUAACU
rnacentral:lncRNA from 1 species